rnacentral:rRNA from 1 species
AUUGAACGCUGGCGGCAGGCCUAACACAUGCAAGUCGAGCGGAAACGACCUAGCUUGCUAGGGGCGUCGAGCGGCGGACGGGUGAGUAACGCGUAGGAAUUUACCAUGUAGUGGGGGAUAACGUUCGGAAACGAACGCUAAUACCGCAUAAGCUCUAAGGAGGAAAGCGGGGGAUCUUCGGACCUCGUGCUAUAUGAUGAGCCUGCGUCGGAUUAGCUAGUUGGUGGGGUAAAGGCCUACCAAGGCGACGAUCCGUAGCUGGUCUGAGAGGAUGAUCAGCCACACUGGGACUGAGACACGGCCCAG